AUUGGGGUGGCAGAGCAUGGUUAAUUGCGAAAGGCCUAAGCCCUUUUUAUCAGAGGUUCAAGUCCUCUCCCCAGUU
rnacentral:tRNA from 3 species